AUUGAACGCUGGCGGAAUGCUUUACACAUGCAAGUCGAGCGGCAGCGCGGGGGCGAACCCUCGGCGGCGAGCGGCGAACGGGUGAGUAAUACAUCGGAACGUGUCCUUAAGUGGGGGAGUAGCUCGCGAAAGCCGGAUUAAUACCGCAUAAGCUCUGAGGAGGAAAGACGGGGGAGUUCGCAAGGACCUCGCGCUGUUGGAGCGGCCGAUGUCAGAUUAGCUAGUUGGUGGGGUAAAGGCCCACCAAGGCGACGAUCCGUAGCUGGUCUGAGAGGAUGAUCAGCCACACUGGAACUGAGACACGGUCCAGACUCCUACGGGAGGCAGCAGUCGGAAUUUUGUCGCAAUGGACGAAAGUACUGACGCAGC
rnacentral:rRNA from 1 species